CACGGAGUUAGCCGAUCCUUAUUCAUAUGGUACAUACAAAAUCCCACACGUGGAACAUUUUAUUCCCAUAUAAAAGAAGUUUACAACCCGUAGGGCAGUCAUCCUUCACGCUACUUGGCUGGUUCAGACUCUCGUCCAUUGACCAAUAUUCCUCACUGCUGCCUCCCGUAGGAGUUUGGACCGUGUCUCAGUUCCAAUGUGGGGGACCUUCCUCUCAGAACCCCUAUCCAUCGUUGUCUUGGUGGGCCGUUACCCCGCCAACUAACUAAUGGAACGCAUCCCCAUCCCAUACCGAAAUUCUUUAAUAAUCCCAUCAUGCGGUAGGACUAUGACAUCGGGUAUUAAUCUUUCUUUCGAAAGGCUAUCCCCGAGUAUGAGGCAGGUUGGAUACGUGUUACUCACCCGUGCGCCGGUCGCCAUCAAAAGUUUGCAAGCAAAACUUUCAUGCUGCCCCUCGACUUGCAUGUGUUAAGCCUGUAGCUAGCGUUCAUCCUGAGCCAGGACUCAAACUCU
rnacentral:rRNA from 1 species